CUGGGCGUAAGCGUGCGUAGGCGGUUAUUUAAGUCAGAUGUGAAAGCCCCGGGCUUAACCUGGGAACUGCAUUUGAUACUGGGUAACUAGAGUUUAAUAGAGGGGAGUGGAAUUUCAGGUGUAGCGGUGAAAUGCGUAGAGAUCUGAAGGAACACCAGUGGCGAAGGCGACUCCCUGGAUUAAAACUGACGCUGAGGUACGAAAGCGUGGGUAGCAAACAGGAUUAGAUACCCUGGUAGUCCACGCCGUAAACGAUGUCAACUAGCCGUUGGUCUUAUUUAUAAGAUUAGUGGCGCAGCUAACGCAUUAAGUUGACCGCCUGGGGAGUACGGCCGCAAGGUUAAAACUCAAAUGAAUUGACGGGGGCCCGCACAAGCGGUGGAGCAUGUGGUUUAAUUCGAUGCAACGCGAAGAACCUUACCUACCCUUGACAUCCAGAGAAUCUGUUAGAGAUAGCGGAGUGCCUUCGGGAACUCUGAGACAGGUGCUGCAUGGCUGUCGUCAGCUCGUGUCGUGAGAUGUUGGGUUAAGUCCCGUAACGAGCGCAACCCUUAUCCUUAGUUGCCAACAGGUCAAGCUGGGAACUCUAGGGAGACUGCCGGUGAUAAACCGGAGGAAGGUGGGGACGAC
rnacentral:rRNA from 1 species